AAAAAAAUGUAAAUGGAAAGUCGUCACUUUCUCUCACAUUCUCAGUCAAAUUUUAGAAGCAAAAGCAUAGUAGUGCAAUUUUAUAUUUAUUUAUUGAAGUUGCCUGAGAGGAAGUCUUUCUUUGGACCACUUCUGUUUUAGGAGUUGUGACUGAAAAUAGAUAGAAAUUAAACAAGCAAAAAAACAGAAGUCUGAAACAC
rnacentral:lncRNA from 1 species